rnacentral:rRNA from 1 species
GAUACCCUAUUAUUUUAAAUGUUAAUUUUAAACUGAAAUUAUUAAUAGCUAAGGUCUUCAAAGUUAAAGAUUUUGGCGGUAUUUUAGUCUUUUCAGAGGAACCUGUCUCUUAAUCGAUAAUCCACGAUUAUUUUUACUUUGUUUAAUUAAUUUACAUAUCGUCGUUAAAUAAAUAUUUUAUUAGAAUUUGAAUGUUUAAGGAUUUUGAUUAUAAAGUAGUUCAGAUCAAGGGGUAGUUUAUAGCAAAGAUGAGGGGGGUUACAUUAUAUUUAUAUAUGGAUUCUUUUUUUUAGAAGAAGGAUGAAAUUGGAUUUGAAAGUAAUAUUUGAAAUUUAUAUAAAAUGAUUAAGCUCUAAAAUAUGCACACAUCGCC